rnacentral:rRNA from 1 species
UACGGAGGGUGCAAGCGUUAUCCGGAUUUAUUGGGUUUAAAGGGUGCGUAGGCGGGCUAUUAAGUCAGUGGUGAAAUCUCCGAGCCUAACUCGGAAAUUGCCAUUGAUACUGAUGGUCUUGAGUACAUUUUGAAGUGGGCGGAAUGUGUCAUGUAGCGGUGAAAAUGCUUAGAUAUGACACAGAACACCGAUUGCGUAGGCAGCUCACUAAACUGUAACUGACGCUGAGGCACGAAAAGCGUGGGGGAGCAAACAGG